rnacentral:rRNA from 1 species
GAGUAACGCGUAUGCAACCUGCCCUUCACAGGGGGGUAACCGGGAGAAAUUCCGACUAAUACCGCAUACGUCCUCCGGGGGCAUCCCCGGAGGAUGAAAGAUUUAUCGGUGAAGGAUGGGCAUGCGUGAUAUUAGGUAGUUGGCGGGGCAACGGCCCACCAAGCCCACGAUAUCUAGGGGUUCUGAGAGGAAGGUCCCCCACAUUGGUACUGAGACACGGACCAAACUCCUACGGGAGGCAGCAGUGAGGAAUAUUGGUCAAUGGACGAGAGUCUGAACCAGCCAAGUCGCGUGAAGGAAGACGGAUCUAUGGUUUGUAAACUUCUUUAGUGCGGGAACAAAGCGGCGUCGUGACGCCGGAUGAGUGUACCGCAAGAAUAAGCAUCGGCUAACUCCGUGCCAGCAGCCGCGGUAAUACGGAGGAUGCGAGCGUUAUCCGGAUUUAUUGGGUUUAAAGGGAGCGCAGGCUGCGAGGCAAGUCAGCGGUCAAAUGUCGGGGCUCAACCCCGGCCUGCCGUUGAAACUGUCCUGCUAGAGUUCGAGUGAGGUAUGCGGAAUGCGUUGUGUAGCGGUGAAAUGCAUAGAUAUGACGCAGAACUCCGAUUGCGAAGGCAGCAUACCAGCUCGCGACUGACGCUGAGGCUCGAAAGCGUGGGUAUCGAACAGGAUUAGAUACCCUGGUAGUCCACGCAGUAAACGAUGAAUACUAACUGUUCGGAGGGCGACCUCUGAGUGGUAAAG